UACGUAGGCAGCAAGCGUUGUUCGGAGUUACUGGGCGUAAGGGGUGUGUAGGCGGUUCCUUAAGUUUGGUGUGAAAUCUCCCGGCUUAACCGGGGGGGUGCGGUGAAUACUGAGGGACUAGAGUACGGGAGAGGAAGGUGGAAUUCCUGGUGUAGCGGUGAAAUGCGUAGAUAUCAGGAGGAACACCGGUGGUGUAGACGGCUUUCUGGACCGUAACUGACGCUGGGACACGAAAGCGUGGGUAGCAAACAGG
rnacentral:rRNA from 1 species